GCCCAGUUCUCCAAAACAUUAUGUGCAUUACUUUCAACCAGCUAUUUACUUCUUUUAGGUUGAGGGGUGGUUUUGGGGCAAUGUUGACCAUAGCCAAAAAUCUAUGAAGGAUCCAGAUAUACAGAUCUCAUUUAAGAGGAAGGAAGAUGAAGAAAGUGUUGGGCAACAGCCUAUAAUCUGAAGCUGAUCCUCCUACACAUAAAGAAAAGCGAAAGAAAGGAGAAAGUGUCCUCCAAAAGCACAUUUGGAGAAGCUAAGUUAAAUUGCUGACUGGACUCUCUCACCAUCAGUUUGUGUUGAUAUGCAUAACCAGUUUUCUGCUGAUAUCUCUACUCAGUUCUUUAUUUCUUAAGCAAAAAUAGUUAUGGUUAAAUGUCUUUGUGCUCCACAAUGCACCCACUAUAUACCUUGGAAGAGCUAACCUAUAUAUGUCACUUCUAGACUUUUGUUUCUGUGAUCAUUUGGAAAACUCAGGAAAACACUCAGGAAAAUGGAAGAUGUUUGAGAGAGGUCAUUAGUAUUGUCUUCUAAGAUUCCUAAUCCCAAUAAAUAGACAUGUGAGUUUUUUGUGCUAUGUGAGCUUCGGGAAUUAUUCAUUAAGAGGAGCUCACACACAUCUAUGACAGUUCUCUUCCCUCUAAUGCCUGGUUUCUAGGUAACAUAGUUCAUAACGCAGCAGAGCAGUACAUAGAGAGCUAAUUCAGACUGUAUGAAAUCUCCUGCUUCUGUGCUUUCUCCACACAAUUACAAGGACAAAACAUGAUAGAAGAUUUCUCUGCCUUCUCUCCUUCAUGCACGACCUCCUAAAUGAUGGACAGAGACAGUGUGAUGGAGGCAGCCAAGGCAUAUCUGUGGAGAAUAAACUUUCCUAUUCACCUUUGAGAAAUCCAUGGGUAAGGAGGAACUUCACAAACUGGUCAUAACCAGGAGGACUAUCAUGAGUCUAUGUAUUGCAUAUAUGCAGCGAGUAGUGAGUAGGAAUCCUCCAAAGAUCUACUGCCAAUCAUUGUAAGUUACAUUUUUUUUUUUUCAUUCGUUGUAUGCAUUUUAUGUAUUUUAAGAGAUUUCAGUGACAAAUAAUUUGAAUUAUAUUUCUGAACACUUUAAAUUCAUACAUUUUAUGAAAAAAAGCAAUAAAUACAAAUAUAUAAUACUAAUAUAUAGUAAA
rnacentral:lncRNA from 1 species